rnacentral:rRNA from 1 species
GCGCACCCUUGUCCUUAGUUGCCAGCACGUCAUGGUGGGAACUCUAAGGAGACUGCCGGUGAUAAACCGGAGGAAGGUGGGGAUGACGUCAAGUCAUCAUGGCCCUUAUGGGCUGGGCUACACACGUGCUACAAUGGUCGGUACAGAGGGUUGCAAAGCGGCGACGUGGAGCUAAUCUCAGAAAACCGGUCGUAGUCCGGAUUGCAGUCUGCAACUCGACUGCAUGAAGUCG